UACUCCUACGGGAGGCAGCAGUGGGGAAUUUUGGACAAUGGGCGAAAGCCUGAUCCAGCCAUUCCGCGUGCAGGAUGAAGGCCCUCGAGUUGUAAACUGCUUUUGUACAGAACGAAAAAGCUCCGGCUAAUACCUGGAGUCCAUGACGGUACUGUAAGAAUAAGCACCGGCUAACUACGUGCCAGCAGCCGCGGUAAUACGUAGGGUGCAAGCGUUAAUCGGAAUUACUGGGCGUAAAGCGUGCGCAGGCGGUUUUGUAAGACAGAGGUGAAAUCCCCGGGCUCAACCUGGGAACUGCCUUUGUGACUGCAAGGCUGGAGUGCGGCAGAGGGGGAUGGAACUCCGCGUGUAGCAGUGAAAUGCGUAGAUAUGCGGAGGAACACCGAUGGCGAAGGCAAUCCCCUGGGCCUGUACUGGCGCUCAUGCACGAAAGCGUGGGGAGCAAACAGGAUUAGAUACCCUGGUAGUCA
rnacentral:rRNA from 2 species